rnacentral:lncRNA from 1 species
GCAACUAGUAAAGCACAAGAUUCAAAGAAGAUUAUCACCUUUCAGAACUCAUGAUUUAAAGAAUAAUGAGAGGUUAGAAGCAUAGGAUGCGUCAUUGUCACGAAAAGGAUUCUAAGAAUGCAGAUCCAGCGCCAGGUGGGGGCUACGGCAUAGAGGAUGUUCCUGGUGGAAAAUUAGAAAAUAUAUGAAUGUUAUGACCAUAUGUAUGCCGACUCAAUAGUGCAUACUGUGUCCAUUGGAAGUCACUUCGAGGGGUCUAUAUUUAUACAUACAUAAAAUACAUUUUUAGGGAAUCAUUUUCAUUUCGGGGUCCAGUUUUAGCCAAAUAU